UGGUAAUGCCGGAUGCUCCAGUUGGAUGCAUGUCCUUCUGGGAAAGAUUCAUCGGUAUGGGAUGGGGUCGCGUCCUAUCAGCUUGAUGGCGGGGUAACGGCCCACCAUGGCUUCGACGGGUAGCCGGCCUGAGAGGGCGACCGGCCACAUUGGGACUGAGAUACGGCCCAGACUCCUACGGGAGGCAGCAGUGGGGAAUAUUGCACAAUGGGCGCAAGCCUGAUGCAGCGACGCCGCGUGCGGGAUGACGGCCUUCGGGUUGUAAACCGCUUUUGACUGGGAGCAAGCCCUUCGGGGUGAGUGUACCUUUCGAAUAAGCACCGGCUAACUACGUGCCAGCAGCCGCGGUAAUACGUAGGGUGCAAGCGUUAUCCGGAAUUAUUGGGCGUAAAGGGCUCGUAGGCGGUUCGUCGCGUCCGGUGUGAAAGUCCAUCGCUUAACGGUGGAUCCGCGCCGGGUACGGGCGGGCUUGAGUGCGGUAGGGGAGACUGGAAUUCCCGGUGUAACGGUGGAAUGUGUAGAUAUC
rnacentral:rRNA from 1 species